GUUCGCUUCGCCAAUACAUAUUCUAAAGUUGUUGCUAUACAGAGAACAUUAGAACGGCCGCAGUGUAAGGGUGACUUGGAAAUUCGUGAAGUGUUCCAUAUCUAU